GAAGUUGGUCCGGUGGUUGCGGGCUGAGCUGCUUGCAGACUCAGUCUGAGGAAAGUCCGGGCUCCCCAAGGGCCAAACUUGCUGGGUAACGCCCAGUGCGGGUGACCGUGAGGACAGUGCCACAGAAACAUACCGCCGAUGGGAUCCCAGCUUCGGCUAGAUCCACAGGUAAGGGUGCAAGGGUGCGGUAAGAGCGCACCAGCAGCAUCGAGAGGUGCUGGCUCGGUAAACCCCGGUUGGGAGCAAGGUCGCAGAAGCUAGGUUGGCCUUUUUCCGGCUUCGAGUUGGAGCACCGCUGGAGGCAGGGAGUAAUUUCUGCCCUAGAUAGAUAACCACCCACCCCUGAUCGGCUCCGGCUGGGUCGGGUGGGGUACAGAACCCGGCUUAUGACUAACUUCUCCA
rnacentral:RNase_P_RNA from 1 species